GUAAAGCUAAAUUACCAAAGUGC
rnacentral:miRNA from 1 species